rnacentral:rRNA from 1 species
UACGUGGGGGGCUAGCGUUGUCCGGAUUUAUUGGGCGUAAAGAGCGUGUAGGCGGCCAGAUAGGUCCGUUGUGAAAACUGGAGGCUUAACCUCCAGCUGUCGAUGGAAACCAUCUGGCUAGAGUCCGGAAGAGGAGAGUGGAAUUCCUGGUGUAGCGGUGAAAUGCGCAGAUAUCAGGAAGAACACCCGUGGCGAAGGCGGCUCUCUGGGACGGUACUGACGCUGAGACGCGAAAGCGUGGGGAGCGAACAGG